GAGCCCGGCGCAGUGGAAAGCGGGCCAAGAAGCAGAGGUCCAGGUUCCAACUCUUGAUUCUAUCACAAAACACUGCACCCGAGGCAGCCAGGCAGCUUCCGAAGACCUCGUUUUCGUUCUUGUUGCCCAGGCUGGAGUGCAAUGGCACAGUCUUGGCUCACUGCAACCUCCAUCUCCCAGGUUCAAGUGAUUCUUCCACCUCAGCCUCCCGAGUAGCUGGUGUUACAGGCACCCGCCACCACGCCUGGCUAAUUUUGUAUUUUUAGUAGAAACGGGGUUUCACUAUGUGGCCAGGCUGGUCUCAAACUCCUGACCUCAGGUGAUCAGACUGCCUCAGCCUCCCAAAGUGCUGGGAUUACAGGCAUAAGCCACCGCACCUGGCCAACAAUUUUUUAAGGAAAAGAAGAAAGGAAAAUUAUUGACCUCAGCUUCCACCUUAACUAGAAAAGACCAAAUGAAACCUAAAAUAAAAAGAAGAAAAGAAAUAAUAAAAAUCAGAGUUGAAAUCAAUGAAACAGAGAACAGAAAAUAAUAGAGAACAUCAAUGAAACAGAACGUUCUUGAGAAAAUUGUUAAAUUUAUAAAUUAUAGUUAGAUUGAUCAGGAACAAAAGAGAAAAUAAAAAUGACCAUUAUCACAAAUGAAAUGGAUAACUUUACUACACAUUCUACAGAUAUUUUUAAAGUCUGAGGCACAGACCUUUAAUAUAAAAACGCUUUAUAGUUCUGUCUAGGGACAUAAGAUCUCAGGAAAAAGAAAAGAAACAUCAGUAAAAGCACUUUUGCUCUGUUUUACAAAAUUGAAAAUCAAUCCCGUGCCUUGUCCAGGUUGUUUUAGGUACACGAGUGUAAAACUGUAUGGUACCCACUGUAAUAGACGAAGCCCAGCUUUCCAUUUGAUCAUGUGCUUAUGUUUUCAUCUAUGGGGUCCCCAGGACCCCUGCACACAGUAGGUGUGCAGUAAACGUUGAGUAAGUCAAUAGAUGGUGGUGGUUGGCAUCGUCUUCCUAAUGUACGCUAGACUCUGUAGUGGCACAAAAGUCAGCACCUGGAAUCCACGUGGGUUUCCGUAUCCUCCACCAAAUGUUCACCAAGCACUCCUCUGUGCAAGGCCUGAAACAACAGAGGAGAACAGAGAUUUGGAACUUUGAGUUAAUAAUGGUAGUUAGAUGAUAUUUUGGACUCCAAGUUGACCCUAGAAUACUUAAGCCUUCGGAGCAUGUUAGGAUGGGAUGAAGGCGUUUUGCCUGCGGGAAGGACAUGAACUUGGAGGAACCAGAGUGUGGACUGUUAUGGGUUGACUAGGACCCUCAAAAACGACGUUCAAGUCCAAACCCUCACUACCUGUCCUUCUGACCUUAUUUGGGAACGGGGCUGUGCAGAUGUCAUUAGUUAAGAUGAGAUCACACUGGAGAUUACGGUGGGCCCUAAGCCAAUAUGAGGGGUGUCUUCAUGAGCAGAGGGAAAUCCGAACACAAUACAGGGAAAAGGAAAAUCUUUCUGGUGUUUUAUUUACUUGCAUUAGUUUCUAAGGCUGCUGUAACAAAGUACCACCAACUGGGUGGCUUAAACAACAGAAAUUUAUCAUCUCACAGUUUUGGAGGCUGCAAGUUCCAAAUCAAGGUGUUGGCAGGGUGGGUUCCUUCUAGGGGCUCUGGGAGGAAAUCUGUGCAAGGCUCUCUUCCAGCUUCUGGAGGUUGUUUUUGCUCACAAGCCUGGGCAGUCUUUGGCUUGUGAAAGCAUCUCCCCAGUUUCUGCCUUCAUCUUCAUGCGGCGCUCUCCCUGUGUGUGUGUGUCUCCAAAUUUCCCCUCUUUAUAAGGACACCAGUCCUACUGGAUUAAGGCCCACCCUAAUGAUUUCAUUUUAAGUUGACUGUCUCAGCCAAGGCCCCAUCUCCAAAUCAGGUCACAUUCUGGGAUGCUGGGAGUUUGAAUUUCAACACAUGAAUUUUGGAGGACACAAUUCAACUCGUCUCACCGGUUCAGGUGUCCAGAAUUGGUUUAUUUCCCAUCUUAAUUGUAGAUUUACAAUGUAAAUGAGCCAUACAUUUUGUCAAUUUUGUUUUUGCAAGAAGUAUUUAAUUUGUUGGUCUUACCUAUUUUACUACUUAGAAGAAAUUAAAAUUGCCUAAGUAAGAGUU
rnacentral:lncRNA from 10 species